UACGUAGGGGGCAAGCGUUAUCCGGAUUUAUUGGGUUUAAAGGGUGCGUAGGCGGGAUGCCAAGUCAGCGGUAAAAAUGCGGUGCUCAACGCCGUCGAGCCGUUGAAACUGGCGUUCUUGAGUGGGCGAGAAGUAUGCGGAAUGCGUGGUGUAGCGGUGAAAUGCAUAGAUAUCACGCAGAACUCCGAUUGCGAAGGCAGCAUACCGGCGCCCUACUGACGCUGAGGCACGAAAGUGCGGGGAUCGAACAGG
rnacentral:rRNA from 1 species